UGCAAACCCUUCCCAACCCACUUCCCAGGUUUUAAAACCUUGAUUACAGAUCCCCAAGGAUUAGACUGUAUCGGAGAGGUCACAGUAUUGAAUCAGAAAAAGAAGACAUGUUUUAAAAGGUCUGUACACAGGUAGUGGUGUGUGGGGUGGGGGAUGUACACUUCAUCACUCCAACAUCAAAAAACAUGAUGCAAAAAGGAUUUCAGCGAUGACCACAGAUUUCUAGAACCCUACCACGUAUGCUAGCCCCCCUCCCCAUCCACUUUUAAAAGUUGCUUUUAAAAAGGAUAAAAAGUGCACAGACACUUUCGUAAGGCACAGACAGAUUGUCACACAAGUCGUUUCAUUAGGGACUCGGAUAAGACAGCGAGACAGUUAAAUACCGAGAAAUGCCAGGAGGCCGCAUGUUCCUGAGCCGGUGCCCCCUGCCAGGACUGGGGCAGGCGCAGGGCCGAGCAAUGGGAGGUUAUUGCCUCUGCCUCAACUGGACGGACUCACCGGGGUUCUCCUGGGCCUUGGCGACUGAUUUCCAGGGCCUGAAAGCAGCAAUUAGCCAACCUCCUCACUGUGUCUCCCUGGCAGGACCUGAGGGUGAUCACCAACCGGCGGGGCCUCUGGGGGUUCUACUUAACGCCGUUUUGGCAGCAGCUCACUGACUGCAAUGUGCCCAGCAUUUCCAAUGAAGAGGAGGUUCUGUGAAGCGCACAGCAGGUUCUGGUCAAGAAGGCAGCCUUUGGGCACCCACCUCAACAGACCCAAGGCAGCGGAUGGCCAAGAGAGCCCAGUGGAUUCUGCCCCAAAUAUCUCAUUUCCCUCUUAGUGUCACCUCUGCCAGCAUCACAGCUGGGGCACAGUCCUCUCUGCUCUAUCCUCACAGCACCUCACACGUACUAGGUACUCAGCAAAUGUUUCUGGAGUAUCUUUGUGUGCGUUAUGUGGUGCUGUUUUAUCAAACCCCUGAACACUCAUAAUCUGAUUUCUGGUUUACUCAGCAAACCUCUACUGAGUAACUACUACGUGCUGGCACAGGACCAGCACCGGGGGUCAGAGAAAAGUUCACCCUGUGUCCUGAACACAGUCCAUGCUGAUUAGUGGCAUCGAGGGACUGGAAACGUGGUGCUGCCGUGAGGGGAGCAGCUCCAUCCCAGGGGACUCCCCGUUCUGAGAACCUGCUAGGACAAGGAGCUGGAUUUGCUUUGCAAACAGCCCAGUUUUUCAGGAGUCUCCGAAUGAAUGGGCACAAGACCAUGAACAACGGGGUGUUUUCAGGUGUCCCCUGUCCUCGCCCUGGAGCCCUGGCUGCUGUGGCCCAGAAGAGCACACCAUGGGCAGUGAGCCUGGAACAGCCGAGGGCUGGGUCACGUGAGGGGGUGCUCAGGGGGCUGGGGCCCCGCUUGAGGGGGUGGUGAUCACGGGGCCUAGGAAGGUGGUGGGACAAGGCCCCAGGUCCCUUCCUAACUGUGGACACCCCUGAAUAACAAGAGAGGGCCCUUGGGUUGGAGUCCAGAUCUCUCAGACCUCAGCUCUGCCAGGAGAAUGCGGGCAGUGAGCAGAUGAGCCUGGAAGGGAGGCCGCUUCUCCUCCCAGGGUGUGGGCAGCGGAGGGGCCUGGCUGGGGCUGGAACCCUCCACAUAGGCACAGGUGCCCGGACUCUCUCCAGGUGAGUUUCAAGGGAGAAAACUCACAGUCUCGAGCUUCCUGGGACUUGGAGCCAGGCAGUGGGAGUGUGGGAUGUGGCAGCAGACACUCCCGGGUUUGAAUCCCAGCCCUGCCAUCUCCUGUUGUGUGAUCAUGAGGUCACUUCACUCACAGGACCUCAGUUUCCUUACCUGCCAAGUGGGAUAACACCAGCUUUCAUAGAUUGUAAGUAGCACAGUUUUUUUUUCACACGUGAACAUCUCUGAUUGGAAGGAACUGUACAGUUGUAGCAUCUUAGUUAAGAUUGGCAGCGUUUUUCCCUAUGGUAUGUAAAACAGUGUUUUAUGACCAGCAGUGUCUUUGAUGUGACUUAUUAUGGCAAUAAGACCUGCCGCACAGGAUUCACGCAGGAAGGUGCCUCUCUAGCCCAGUGCCAAGGCACGCUGUAGGUGCAAAAUAAAGUACAGUGGCUCCUUUUCCUCUUUCUCUUGUCCCCUUCUCAAGACAGAACAUAGUGGGGACGUGUGCAUCUCCUCUGUAGCACUGAGUAACGCUCAGAGCAUCAGGAAACGUCUGGUUUUUAGAAGAUAAACACUUCCUUACCUCCUCUUGGAAACAGGGAGGCUAUUUAUAGCAGCUGCAGAGCAGGUUGAACGGGCCACUGACUCGCUUCUUCCCAGGUCACAGGUGGCCAGGAGAUGCCUGGUCCACCUCUGGGUCCAGGCCUCAGUCACUGGUUUCCCAGUGGAGGCUGGACGUGACCCCGGCUGGAACCCAAAGGGGCAGCCAGGAAGGGCAGGAGAGUGGAGCUGCUUUCCCCCAGGCCACUGAGACCCCACAGCUUGUGGCUGGGUCGCAGUGUAGACAGGAGACGGUUGUCUGCAGCACCACAGGCCUGGGGUGAGGAGUCCUCCCAUGCAGGGCCUGUGCGUGGCCCCGCCCACACCCAGCACAUGCAGGAAACCAAAUUCAGCCAGGCACCCAGGGCUGCUGGAUUCUCAAACUCUUAUCUUGGCAAACACUGUGGUUCCAAAAGCUGCUCAAAAGAUUCUGCUGCAAAAUUAAAAUGUGGGAAUUUCCCCAGAUUUUCUAGGGAAAAGUAAAUAAUCAGGGAUUCUUGAUGGGGCAAGAGAGUGGGGACCUUAAGUUGGAAUCAGGUCAGACAACUGUGAUUACUCCCAGCUAGAGGAGGAACAGGAGGCCCCAAACCACCAGCAGCGCAUGGGCACCAGCUGGUCUGUGGGGCUUGAUCUGGUGAAGGCCUGGCCCAGCUUUGCUCUGGGCACCCAGACACCCAGCAGUGUUUGUUAUAUGAAUGCAUCAACUCCCCUGCCUUCCUCUCCCUCCUUCCCUCCUUCAGCAGGACAUGAACAGAUUAGGAAUUGUACUCCAAAUGAUACUUGCUUUUUGUAAGGCGUCUCAGGCUUUUUAGAACGUUGUACUGGUCCUCCCAAGAACUCCUGGAGUUGUCAGGUUCUAGACUUCUAAUUGGGAACUGAAAAAUAGACAGGCCAAGGGACUUCCCUAAUGGGACAGCACAGAAGAGGGCAGAGGUGGAGCCCAGAACUGGGGGCAAGAAGGGAGGGACAGGCCUGGGCCAGCCCAUCAGCCCAGAUGUGAUCUGGGAGUCUGCAGAGAUGGGCACGGCUGAGGGGGUGGGGCAGGGUCAAGGUCCCAGGAAAUACCAGCAGGUAGGUCUGGGAAGGGAGAGAAUCCCAGUGCCAGCAUUUUUCGUUACUGUCUCGAUCAUUAGUUAACAUACUUAUCAGUGAACACUUUAGUAACCAGCGGAGGAAGAUACACUGAGAAUCAGAACAAAGACCAAAAGUUAUAACCAAAGUUAUAAAGCCCUCGUUCCUCCUCCUGCCAGCAGGUCCCCUGGGAAUGCCAGGCCCAGGGGCCACCACAGGAAGGUAGAGAGCUGUCUGCAUCGUGGAGUGGGCUUUCCAGCUCCAGGUGGGUCACCUGCCUCUAGGAUUCUUUCUCUCCCACAGAAAAACAGAACUUACUGCUGGUCUUCUCCUUGGAGAUAGGGAAGGGCAUUACAGAGACUUGCCUCCAGAGACGGAGACAAGGUUUUGCACCUUUCUCUACUCUUCUACUCCCAAACACCAAGAUAAAAUGCCACCAUCGUCACCCUUUGGAAUGCCCUAUCUAGACACUUCUCCUCCCUCCAGCUGAGCAUACAGCUGAGGGAAGGAGAGGAUGCGGGGGAAAGGCGGCCACCCUGCUCAGUCCCUGGAAGGCCACUGGCACAGCCGGAGGAGCCAGGCCAGCCGCCAGCCCCUGCCCCUGCCAGGGUUUGCAUUUCCUUACCCAGGGAUGACUCAGAUGCCGAGGAGGACUGGUUGACACUGAAGGUCAUAUCUGAAUCACUAUCGUCCUGGGAGCCGCUGAGGGACCCUGAUGGAGUCGUGGUCGCAGGGCUGGACUGCAGGGUACCUGAGGCCCAAAGAGAUUCCAUCAGGGGCAGUGGAAGGUUGGACCUGCCCUGCUAGUCCAUGGUUCUUCACUGCUUUGCACCUUAGCUUUCCCGUCUAACGAGAGGACCAGAGAAACAGCCCUGGGAUGUUCUUUUGGGAUACUAAUGUGCCCUCCCUCAUAGGAUAAGGGCCAGGCCAACAGGAACUUCCACUCUCUGGUCUCAAUAGUGGUGGUUCAGGAAAGGGCACAUAACCCCCGUAAGGCCCGAGACCCAAUUCUGCAACUUUUACUGGAACUACUAGGAAAGAAGGAACUCAUUCCAUUCAUUGGGAAGGAAGCCUGGAGCUGGAAGAGCCAACCCGUGGCAAAGGCCUGCCUGAGAGUGAUGCCAACACAGAGGCAAGCAGAGCUUUGAGUUGGAAAGAGAGGUAGGAUCCUGCUGAUAUCCUUCCAGUACCUAGAUCCAGCUAUUCCUGAACUCACCCAAUAUACUCCCAGACAUUUCCUUUUUUGCUUAGGGCACUUUGAGUGGGGUUUUGCCCCUUGCGAGAAGAUCCCUGACUACUAGUGCUCAACAUGGAUGAGUUUUCUUCCCCAAGCUUGCUGUUGGUUCAGACAAUAACAGCUUGUUUCUUAGGAUGAAAAGAUGCCCCUUCCCUUGCCCUACCUGAGGAUGAAUGGACAGAUAAUGGGCACUUCGUCUCGGGCUGAAAUGAUGACUAUGUCUGAUGGUUCCUCAAAAACACAAAACAACACAACUUCCCCCUCCCCAAAAAACACUCUGACCAAAUAACCACACUGCCACCCGGCUCCUCCUCUGCCCUCAUGAAGACAGCAACAGCUGCUGUUGUUACUGUUACCACUGAUUAAACCAGUGUCAGGCCCCGCUCAAGGCAUUAUAUGCACAUGAUUUCAUCCUCAUGACAACCCCAUGAAGCAGGUAUCACUCUCUUUCUACAGAAGGAAACAGGCUCAGGAGAAUCUGUGAUUUGUCCAGCAUCUUCAAAGCUGACCAGCGAUGUGACCCUGGGAUAGUCAUUUAAUCUCUCUGUGCUCAUUAUCUUAUCUGUAGGUGGGGAUAAUGAUACUGAUUUCAAUAGAGUCAAAGGGAGGAUAAAAUUCAAUGAGGGAACAUAUGAGCUGUUGACUGCUUCUUAUUGCUUGGACUCUACUUUUUGAGCCAUGAAGUUGGAGCCAGGCUCUCUGGGAAGCCUUCUCUGAACAUCUCCUUCACUCCACCAAGCUGGGAGAGGAGCCCCCGGC
rnacentral:lncRNA from 1 species